rnacentral:rRNA from 1 species
GCCAUGCAAGUCUAAGUACGCACGGUCGGUACAGUGAAACUGCGAAUGGCUCAUUAAAUCAGUUAUGGUUCCUUUGAUCGCUCUACCGUUACUUGGAUAACUGUGGCAAUUCUAGAGCUAAUACAUGCCAACGAGCGCUGACCUCCGGGGAUGCGUGCAUUUAUCAGACCCAAAACCCAUGCGGGGCCCGCCUGCCCCCCGCCCCCGGGCGGGGGACGGCUCCCCGGCCGCUUUGGUGACUCUAGAUAACCUCGAGCCGAUCGCUGGCCCUCAGGUGGCGGCGACGUCUCAUUCGAAUGUCUGCCCUAUCAACUUUCGAUGGUACGCUCUGUGCCUACCAUGGUGACCACGGGUAACGGGGAAUCAGGGUUCGAUUCCGGAGAGGGAGCCUGAGAAACGGCUACCACAUCCAAGGAAGGCAGCAGGCGCGCAAAUUACCCACUCCCGACGCGGGGAGGUAGUGACGAAAAAUAACAAUACAGGACUCUUUCGAGGCCCUGUAAUUGGAAUGAGUACACUUUAAA